GACGAACCGUGCGAACGUUGUUCGGAAUCACUGGGCUUAAAGGGCGCGUAGGCGGGUACGCAAGUCUGUGGUGAAAGCCUCCAGCUUAACUGGAGAAGUGCCAUGGAUACUGCGCAUCUUGAGGAGGGUAGGGGCGUCUGGAACGGUCGGUGGAGCGGUGAAAUGCGUUGAUAUCGACCGGAACUCCGGUGGCGAAGGCGGCCCUCUGGACGGUGACUGACGCUGAGACGCGAAAGCGUGGGGAGCAAACAGG
rnacentral:rRNA from 1 species